rnacentral:rRNA from 1 species
UACGUAGGGUGCGAGCGUUGUCCGGAAUUACUGGGCGUAAAGGGCUCGUAGGCGGCCAACUAAGUCAUACGUGAAAUCCCUCAGCUUAACUGGGGAACUGCGUGUGAUACUGGAUGGCUUGGAUGUGGGAGAGGGAUGCGGAAUUCCAGGUGUAGCGGUGAAAUGCGUAGAUAUCUGGAGGAACACCGGUGGCGAAGGCGGCAUCCUGGACCAUUAUUGACGCUGAGGAGCGAAAGCCAGGGGAGCAAACGGG